UAAAAAUUGAUUUACUUAAUUAAUUAAGGAACUAAUUUUUAGAGAAUUUUCUUUUUCUUUAGUAUUUUAUUGAAAUGGUUAUUUUUGUAAUAGUUUAUUAGUACUGUAAAGUGAUGUUGAAAUAUAUUGAAAUAAUUAUUUUCUAAAAAGCAUACUGUUUGUAGUACCUUUUGUAUCAGGGAUGAUUAAUUUUAUUUAAUUUAU
rnacentral:rRNA from 2 species